rnacentral:sRNA from 1 species
UAAACUCAUUUAAUCACUGCACCAUUCGC